CUGACACCUCUGCCACUGCGCUUGCUGGAAGGCCCAGUUCUACAGAAGGAUCAUUCUGUAGUUCACGUCUACAUCCAGGUCAUGCAGGGGGAUGUUUGAUUGGGAGAUUCUAGGUCACAUGCCUGCAGCAGAGCUCAAAGGAGUCUAGAAAAGUGUUUGGGCUCCAUGAAGCCAGGUAUCAAUGACAUCUGUAGAAGUCACCUCACACCCACCUUGCAGACCUGUCACGUGACUUGGCUUCCAGAGAGAUAGCUGACAACUUUGUCAACUUCAUUGAGCAGUGAGGUAUAAUUUAUAUGUAAUAAAAUACUUCCAUGUUAA